AGAGUUUGAUCCUGGCUCAGGACGAACGCUGGCGGCAUGCCUAACACAUGCAAGUCGAACGGAACUUAUUGAAUGAAGUUUUCGGAUGGAUUUUAGUAAGUUUAGUGGCGGACGGGUGAGUAACGCGUGAGCAACCUGCCUUUCAGAGGGGGACAACAGUUGGAAACGACUGCUAAUACCGCAUAAUGUAUCGAGAAGGCAUCUUCUUGAUACCAAAGAUUAUAUCGCUGAAAGAUGGGCUCGCGUACGAUUAGAUAGUUGGUGAGGUAACGGCUCACCAAGUCGACGAUCGUUAGCCGGACUGAGAGGUUGAACGGCCACAUUGGGACUGAGACACGGCCCAGACUCCUACGGGAGGCAGCAGUGAGGAAUAUUGGGCAAUGGGCGCAAGCCUGACCCAGCAAUGCCGCGUGAAGGAAGACGGUUUUCGGAUUGUAAACUUCUUUUAAGAGGGACGAUAAUGACGGUACCUCUUGAAUAAGCCACGGCUAACUACGUGCCAGCAGCCGCGGUAAUACGUAGGUGGCAAGCGUUGUCCGGAUUUACUGGGCGUAAAGGGUGCGUAGGCGGUCUUUCAAGUCAGGAGUGAAAGGCUACGGCUCAACCGUAGUAAGCUCUUGAAACUGUAAGACUUGAGUGCAGGAGAGGAGAGUGGAAUUCCUAGUGUAGCGGUGAAAUGCGUAGAUAUUAGGAGGAACACCAGUGGCGAAGGCGGCCUGCUGGGCUCUAACUGACGCUGAGGCUCGAAAGUGUGGGGAGCAAACAGGAUUAGAUACCCUGGUAGUCCACACUGUAAACGAUGAUUGCUAGGGGUGGGGGGUCUGACCCCCUCCGUGGCGGAACUAACGCAAUAA
rnacentral:rRNA from 1 species